UACGUAGGGGGCUAGCGUUGUCCGGAAUCAUUGGGCGUAAAGCGCACGUAGGCGGCUUUUUAAGUCAGGGGUGAAAUCCUGGAGCUCAACUCCAGAACUGCCUUUGAUACUGAGAAGCUUGAGUCCGGGAGAGGUGAGUGGAACUGCGAGUGUAGAGGUGAAAUUCGUAGAUAUUCGCAAGAACACCAGUGGCGAAGGCGGCUCACUGGCCCGGUACUGACGCUGAGGUGCGAAAGCGUGGGGAGCAAACAGG
rnacentral:rRNA from 1 species